GGGUUGCUAACUCAACGGUAGAGUACUCGGCUUUUAACCGACCGGUUCCGGGUUCGAAUCCCGGGCAACCCAC
rnacentral:tRNA from 1 species